rnacentral:rRNA from 1 species
AGAGUUUGAUCCUGGCUCAGAUUGAACGCUGGCGGCAGGCCUAACACAUGCAAGUCGAGCGGUAGCACAGAGAGCUUGCUCUCGGGUGACGAGCGGCGGACGGGUGAGUAAUGUCUGGGAAACUGCCUGAUGGAGGGGGAUAACUACUGGAAACGGUAGCUAAUACCGCAUAAUGUCGCAAGACCAAAGUGGGGGACCUUCGGGCCUCAUGCCAUCAGAUGUGCCCAGAUGGGAUUAGCUAGUAGGUGGGGUAACGGCUCACCUAGGCGACGAUCCCUAGCUGGUCUGAGAGGAUGACCAGCCACACUGGAACUGAGACACGGUCCAGACUCCUACGGGAGGCAGCAGUGGGGAAUAUUGCACAAUGGGCGCAAGCCUGAUGCAGCCAUGCCGCGUGUGUGAAGAAGGCCUUCGGGUUGUAAAGCACUUUCAGCGGGGAGGAAGGCGGUGAGGUUAAUAACCUCACCGAUUGACGUUACCCGCAGAAGAAGCACCGGCUAACUCCGUGCCAGCAGCCGCGGUAAUACGGAGGGUGCAAGCGUUAAUCGGAAUUACUGGGCGUAAAGCGCACGCAGGCGGUCUGUCAAGUCGGAUGUGAAAUCCCCGGGCUCAACCUGGGAACUGCAUUCGAAACUGGCAGGCUAGAGUCUUGUAGAGGGGGGUAGAAUUCCAGGUGUAGCGGUGAAAUGCGUAGAGAUCUGGAGGAAUACCGGUGGCGAAGGCGGCCCCCUGGACAAAGACUGACGCUCAGGUGCGAAAGCGUGGGGAGCAAACAGGAUUAGAUACCCUGGUAGUCCACGCCGUAAACGAUGUCGAUUUGGAGGUUGUGCCCUUGAGGCGUGGCUUCCGGAGCUAACGCGUUAAAUCGACCGCCUGGGGAGUACGGCCGCAAGGUUAAAACUCAAAUGAAUUGACGGGGGCCCGCACAAGCGGUGGAGCAUGUGGUUUAAUUCGAUGCAACGCGAAGAACCUUACCUGGUCUUGACAUCCACAGAACUUAGCAGAGAUGCUUUGGUGCCUUCGGGAACUGUGAGACAGGUGCUGCAUGGCUGUCGUCAGCUCGUGUUGUGAAAUGUUGGGUUAAGUCCCGCAACGAGCGCAACCCUUAUCCUUUGUUGCCAGCGGUUAGGCCGGGAACUCAAAGGAGACUGCCAGUGAUAAACUGGAGGAAGGUGGGGAUGACGUCAAGUCAUCAUGGCCCUUACGACCAGGGCUACACACGUGCUACAAUGGCAUAUACAAAGAGAAGCGACCUCGCGAGAGCAAGCGGACCUCAUAAAGUAUGUCGUAGUCCGGAUUGGAGUCUGCAACUCGACUCCAUGAAGUCGGAAUCGCUAGUAAUCGUAGAUCAGAAUGCUACGGUGAAUACGUUCCCGGGCCUUGCACACACCGCCCGUC